GACGAACGCUGGCGGCGUGCUUAACACAUGCAAGUCGAACGGUAAGGCCCUUCGGGGUACACGAGUGGCGAACGGGUGAGUAACACGUGGGUGAUCUGCCCUGCACUUCGGGAUAAGCCUGGGAAACUGGGUCUAAUACCGGAUAGGACUCCGGACUGCAUGGUCUGGGGUGGAAAGCCUUUGCGGUGUGGGAUGGGCCCGCGGCCUAUCAGCUUGUUGGUGGGGUGAUGGCCUACCAAGGCGACGACGGGUAGCCGGCCCGAGAGGGUGACCGGCCACACUGGGACUGAGAUACGGCCCAGACUCCUACGGGAGGCAGCAGUGGGGAAUAUUGCACAAUGGGCGCAAGCCUGAUGCAGCGACGCCGCGUGAGGGAUGACGGCCUUCGGGUUGUAAACCUCUUUCAGCAUCGACGAAGCGAAAGUGACGGUAGGUGCAGAAGAAGGACCGGCCAACUAGGUGCCAGCCGCCGCAGUAA
rnacentral:rRNA from 1 species